CUUUUUUGGUCAAGAUUAUUUGCUGUACUGAGAGAUACAGUAAGGCAAUGUGUUAAAUUUUGCUUUACAGUUAAAAAGAAACAAUGUGAAUAUGCAACAUAUGACAGAUAACAGUGGCAUAUUUUUAGAACCUUUGAAAUUAGAGCAAAAUCAUAUCAAGAGUGAAGAGUGUGCUCCCACCACAAACAUUACUUUUCAUUUUUUUCGACUACACGGUGUGCAGUUUUAUUACCCUUUCUUUCGUAAAUUCAGGGACAGAUAGUUUUUCCCCUCUGUGUUUGCAUAAAUAUACCCACAAUGGACCUCAAAUCCCUGAGCUGACUCUCCGUUUGUAAGAGAGAUCAUGUUCUCUUUUAGGAGCUGCAGCCAGUGUUGCUGUGGGCCACGUGUCUCUGGAGUGGUCUGUGUGGGGAGAGCUGGUCCUGGGGGGCUUCACGCUUCUCAUCGCUGGGGCUUUAUUCCUGAUGGAUCUAACUAGCAACAUCUGGAUCAGCUACACAUUCUACUUCCUCUUCAAAACAAUUUACAUGCCACUCACCACCAUCUGCACUUUCCAGAUAGCCAAGAAGCUGAACAGGAGGCGCUAUGCAUUGGUGUUUGGGCUGAACAGUUUUGUAGGUACAGUCCUGCAGAGUGUCCUCACCGCCGUCGUCAUCAACACCAAGUCUGUACAGCUCCCCAUCACCUCCCAGUUUAUCACCUACGCCUCGUACUUUGCUGCCAUUUCCCUGCUGUUCACAGUCAGAGGUGUGUAUACGGUGCUUCACAUGAAGGCAGCCAGGAGGAGAGAGACAACAACUUGCCAGAGGGCUCACACCUGUGACGAGUUUGUGUGACAGGAGAAAAUGUAAGGAUUUUAAUAACCGUCAGCGCUGCGCCCUAUUACUGCUGCAGCAGCAAUAAACGGGACCAGAAGUGUUAUACCUGCAUACACAUCAAGAUUUUAAAUCAAUCAAAGGAUGGUUAAUUAUUUUUUGUCCAUCUGUCACCAGCAGGAUGAAAAUAAUUAAUUCUGCAAAUGUGCUGUGCUUUUAACAGUUCCAAGUAUCGCCACUAGAGUGCAGCAUACACUCAAUAUCGACUAAGCAGAGCACUGCAUGACAGCUUUGUGGUGCUUUAGUUUACUGGUGUAACUAGUUAGUGCACGUAUAUCAGAUUCAUCUCAGAAUGAGUUCAUAUAAGAAUCAUGAAAUGUUUUCUGGAGGUGAAUUUUUGUGUACGUGUUUAUUUUUUCAAGACAAACCCUUCAUGUCUGCAUAUUUAACAACUGCCUGUAAAAUCACAGUUCAUUCAUCUCAUAAGAAAUUAAACUCAUCAAUCAAUUGAACAUUUAUUAUGUGAUAACAUGUCUUGGCCUUAAACUGUAUUUUUUAUGGUUUAUUCGAACUCUAGUCAUUAAGCGUCAUGGAUGUACCUUUUUUUUUAGGAAGUGUGGUAACAUUCAGGCUUGCCAGGACAUUAAACAUGUUUGGUUGUUGUAGUAUAACCAGCAAAAUAACAAAACUAAUGCUGAAACUCCACGGUAAAAGAAAAUCAAGAAGAAAAUAAACAUUUCCUUAAAUUGUGAUAUUUAAAUUGAUUAAAAUGAUA